AAAAAAUACUCCUAAACCUCCCUCGUUUCGACAAUACAACAGGAACUUUGACGGAAAACACUUCCUUUCUCGCAAAACAUGACGAAGACAUAAGGUUGGCAGAGAUUGGGAGAUCUCCAAGAGAAGAAGACAUAAUAGAGAUUGAGACGGGAACACCAACAUUGUGUGACUCUGAAAAGCUUGAGAAGAAGGCAUACCACAGAUUUGUAGAUCUCCACGAAGAUAAUAACCCUUUGAUUAUUUUAGGGAUCGAUAGUGGGUUAGGGUUUUUCUCCCAAUCAAACAAAGGGUGAAAUAUAGCUUUGGAUAGGAGGUCGAAGAAGAUGUUUCUCGUUUGGACGAUGGUGAUGAAACCAAGCUUCGGAUUUUAGGGAACACUACUGCUAUUGGUGAUGAAAGUAGCAAUGGUACUUUCUUCAGGGUUGUUCUGUUAGUUCGUUGAAGAAAGUAUGAUGAAGCAAGGGAGUUUGUAGAGAGAGCUAGAAAGUGUUUGGCAACAAAGCUCGCUGCACUGGUCUGUCUGUCUAAAGGUUUGGGUGCACCAAUUGAUGUCCAAAGAGCUUUGUUUCUAAGGCUAAGAGGCUCAGGGAAAACCCUUGGUGGUGGAAUGAGGCAAAUAGACAUCCUGUGUGCUGCUGCAUAUGUUGCAUUGCAUGAGAAUGUUGGUAAACUUGAGGGUGAUCACAAGAAAGCAAAAAGUUUAGCAGAAGGACUGAAUCAAAUCAAGGAACUAAGAGUGGAUGUAUCUUCAGUAGAAACAAAUAUUGCUGUCAAUGUUAAUCACCACAAAGUUGGGGAAGCAGAUGAACCAGCAAUGUACAAGAUCAAUGAUGACUUGGUAACUGCCACCCACCUGAUCCUCUAAA